rnacentral:rRNA from 1 species
UACGUAGGGACCAAGCGUUGUUCGGAUUUACUGGGCGUAAAGGCGCGUAGGCGGCGUGACAAGUCACUUGUGAAAUCUCCGGGCUUAACUCGGAACGGCCAAGUGAUACUGUCGUGCUAGAGUGCAGAAGGGCAAUCGGAAUUCUUGGUGUAGCGGUGAAAUGCGUAGAUAUCAAGAGGAACACCUGAGGUGAAGACGGGUUGCUGGGCUGACACUGACGCUGAAGCGCGAAAGCUAGGGGAGCAAACGGG